rnacentral:snRNA from 1 species
GUACUCACUUUGGCAGCACAUACACUAAAAUUGGAACGAUACAGCGAAGAUUAGCAUGGCCCCUGCACAAGGAUGACACGCAAAUUCGUGAAGUGUUCCAUAUUUUU